UACGUAGGGUGCAAGCGUUAAUCGGAAUUACUGGGCGUAAAGCGUGCGCAGGCGGCUUUGCAAGACAGAUGUGAAAUCCCCGGGCUCACCUGGGAACCUGCAUUUGUGACUGCAUGGCUGGAGUGCGGCAGAGGGGGAUGGAAUUCCGCGUGUAGCAGUGAAAUGCGUAGAUAAUGCGGAGGAACACCGAUGGCGAAGGACAAUCCCCUGGGCCUGCACUGACGCUCAUGCACGAAAGCGUGGGGAGCAA
rnacentral:rRNA from 1 species